GAACUUCAUCACUGACCUUGAAAAUGCGGUUUUUCACUGAAGUGGUUUUUCUUUCUCCUCCAGGGAGCUUUUGUCACUACCUCAACAGACCGUUCUAGAGGUGAAAAUAUGGAGUUGUUUCAGCUGCUCUCUCCAUUGUUUGCACUGCCAGCAAGGAAUUGCCAUUGCCAGAAAUGCGAGCGGAGGGUGUUUUGAUAAAGAAUCUCAG
rnacentral:lncRNA from 1 species